AUUGAACGCUGGCGGCAUGCCUUACACAUGCAAGUCGAACGGCAGCACGGGUGCUUGCACCUGGUGGCGAGUGGCGAACGGGUGAGUAAUACAUCGGAACGUACCUUAUCGUGGGGAUAACGCAGCCAAAGCUGUGCUAAUACCGCAUACGCCCUGAUGGGGAAAGCGGGUGAUCGCAAGACCUCGCGCGCUUAGAGCGGCCGAUGCCUGAUGAGCUUGUUGCGGGGGUAAAAGCCCACCAAGGCGACGAUCAGUAGCUGGUCUGAGAGGACGAUCAGCCAAACUGGGACUGAGACACGGCCCAGACUCCUACGGGAGGCAGCAGUGGGGAAUUUUGGACAAUGGGGGCAACCCUGAUCCAGCAAUGCCGCGUGAGUGAAGAAGGCCUUCGGGUUGUAAAGCUCUUUUGUCAGGGAAAAAACACCGGCUCUAACACAGUCCGGGAAUGACGGUACCUGAAGAAUAAGCGCCGGCUAACUACGUGCCAGCCGCCGCCGUAA
rnacentral:rRNA from 1 species